GUCGUGAAGAGGGAAACAACCCAGACCGCCAGCUAAGGUCCCAAAGUCAUGGUUAAGUGGGAAACGAUGUGGGAAGGCCCAGACAGCCAGGAUGUUGGCUUAGAAGCAGCCAUCAUUUAAAGAAAGCGUAAUAGCUCACUGGUCGAGUCGGCCUGCGCGGAAGAUGUAACGGGGCUAAACCAUGCACCGAAGCUGCGGCAGCGACACUAUGUGUUGUUGGGUAGGGGAGCGUUCUGUAAGCCUGCGAAGGUGACCUGUGAGGGUUGCUGGAGGUAUCAGAAGUGCGAAUGCUGACAUAAGUAACGAUAAAGCGGGUGAAAAGCCCGCUCGCCGGAAGACCAAGGGUUCCUGUCCAACGUUAAUCGGGGCAGGGUGAGUCGACCCCUAAGGCGAGGCCGAAAGGCGUAGUCGAUGGGAAACAGGUUAAUAUUCCUGUACUUGGUGUUACUGCGAAGGGGGGACGGAGAAGGCUAUGUUAGCCGGGCGACGGUUGUCCCGGUUUAAGCAUGUAGGCUGGUUAUCCAGGCAAAUCCGGAUAAUCAAGGCUGAGGUGUGAUGACGAGGCACUACGGUGCUGAAGUAACAAAUGCCCUGCUUCCAGGAAAAGCCUCUAAGCAUCAGGUAACAUCAAAUCGUACCCCAAACCGACACAGGUGGUCAGGUAGAGAAUACCAAGGCGCUUGAGAGAACUCGGGUGAAGGAACUAGGCAAAAUGGUGCCGUAACUUCGGGAGAAGGCACGCUGGUGUGUAGGUGAA
rnacentral:rRNA from 1 species